rnacentral:rRNA from 1 species
UACGGGGGGGCAAGCGUUGUUCGGAAUUACUGGGCGUAAAGGCUCGUAGGCGCCAACUAAGUCAUACGUGAAAUCCCUCGGCUUAACCGGGGAACUGCGUCUGAUACUGGAUGGCUUGAGUUCGGGAGAGGGAUGCGGAAUUCCAGGUGUAGCGGUGGAAUGCGUAGAGAUCGGAAGAACACCGGUGGCGAAGGCGGCCGAUGGCGAGCCG